AAGAAGUAGACGUAAGAGGCUCCAUUUUGUUGUGUAGUAAGAAAAAUUCUUUUGCCUUGAGAUGCCGUUAAUCUGUAACCCUAGCCCCAACCCUGUGCUCACAGAAACAUGUACUGUGUCGACUCAAGGUUUAAUGGAUUCAGGGCUUUCCAUCUGCUGAGAUAGGAGAAAACUGCCUUAGGGCUGGAGGUGGGACAUGCUGGUUCCUGCUGACCCUCUCCCCACUAUUACCCUAUUGUCCUGCCACAUCCCCCUCUCUGAGAUGGUAGAGAUAAUGAUCAAUAAAUACUAGGGAACUCAGAGACUGGUGCCAGCGUGGGGCCCACCCCCCGAGGUAGUCCUGGGCUGAGCCCCAUGGGACCUAGAGAACCAGGGUGUACCCCACCAGCAUGUCGGGUGGCUACCCCUGUAAUCCUAGCACUUUGGGAGACUGAGAUGGGGGGACUGCUUGAAGUCAGGAGUU
rnacentral:lncRNA from 1 species